UGGGAACCUUAUUUGUUGUUUUUAUUCAAUUCAGUUGGUAUGAGAACGGUAGCCCCUAUCUGCAAAAGCAGGGCGUCUGUGGAAAGCUGAGUAUCUUGGCUAUUGAUCUGUGCCUUAACAGUUUUGGUCUGACUUACUACCAUAUAUGGGCAUACAAAUAUAUAAGGCCAGGCCGAGCCGAUGACCUAAUUUUAAGGUUUUUCGACGGUGACAUUCCGAGGGGUUCGUGCUGACUGUGCGGAGAUUGUGACAUCUGGUUAAACUGCAUCCCUUGACAAGGCAAGAACAAGAUGACUGGAGAAGUGCAGUAUUAUCAUAAGGAGACGUAUACUUGGAAUAUGUUGGAGGAAUGGAGGGAAAAAGAGAGGCAGAGGACGUCUGAGAGAGAGAGAGAGAGGGGAAGAGGGAUGUUGAACUUUUUUUAUGUGCUUAAGUUGAGUCUCCUUCAGUUUCCCAAUGAUGUCUAAGAGCAAAAAAACAUAAUCCAGUGGCCAUUUGCUCAGAUAUCCCCUGUCAAGACCCUUGGAUCAGAGGGACAAGGACUAUGACUCCUUCACUUCCACCUUUCACUUUGAGAACCCUCUAUUUCCCCCUCACCGCACCCCCAAACCUGUCCCUCCUCCACUGCUCCGACCCACACCACCACCCCCAGACGAGGACCCAUACAGGCCCAUUAAGCCCCCUAAUAACUCUGAUCUCUCUGUCCCUCCUUUCAAAGGCGCUGUCCAACCUAUCACAGGUAUUGUGUAUAUAUAUCCUCCCUGUUUUCUUAGUGGAAACUGUGAUCUCUUAUGUGGCCCUCUGCCCUUCCCCCCACCAGCCCUAGCCCUGUGCACCCAACCCUCAGACUCCACACGUGGGGACACAGACCAUGGUGUGCCCAUACAACGAAACGGAAUCCCGAGCAGCCCGGAGUAUUCAUUCUGCCCUCUGCCCCCAGUGGCCAACCAGACAGAUUGGCCCCCAUCCCGCCCUGUAACCCAUAUUUGUACUUCCUUCAGGACAGAGCACAAACACGAGGGCGGAGGCAGCAGAGGGACUUCCUGGACCCAUCUUUGUAUUCCCAUCUGAGGUGGCCACUGGGAUGGGCAACAGUGGGGUUAACAUGUUGUCUCCUCCCCUACGACCUGACUCUGUUCCUCCUCCCAUCCUCAUUUACCCUGGUGUUUUUAUUCCCAUCAUAGGAGAACUUCAGACAUAGAUAAUCGCCUGCUGAGAUUCAGACUUCACUGAUUCAAAGUAGUUUUCCCCAGUUCACUCCACAGAUACCCAGCUACUUUUGUAUUGAAAGUAGCUGGAGAUUAAACUAAAUAAAUGUAUAAUGCUGACUAUUAUAUAACAAUCCACACUGUCAAUUGUUGGGUCUUUCUAUACUUAAUGCAUAUUUCUGUUUACCAUUGGAUGUAAAACAAUUAUCUGCAAUAAAUGAAUAAAACUUGUGUGUUGCGAUUUUACAGCGUAUCUGUGCACAUUUUGGGAAGAAAUACUACCAUUUAAUUAAUGAAUAUUAGAUAAUGGCAUUUUAAUGUGCAGCAUGAUUGUCGCUUCUCUGCUUCAGGAAAAUGUGUAUU